UAUAAUGAGGAAAGGCUUACGGUGGAUACCUAGGGACCUAGAGAAGAGGAAGGGCAUAGUAAUCGAUGAAAUACUUUGGGGAGUUAAAAAUAAGCAUAAAUAUGGAUGUUCCCGAAUAGGGCAACCUUUUGAACUACUGCUGAAUCCAUGGGCCGGCAAGAGAAAACCUGGAGAACUGAAACAUCUUAGUAGCCAGAGAAAAAGAAAGCAAAAGCGAUUCCCAUGGUAGCGGCGAGCGAAAUGAGAGCAGCCUAAACUGUGAAAACGAGGUUGUGGGAGAGCAAUACAAGUGUCAUGAUACUAGGAGAAGCAACCUGAAUGCUGCACCCUAGAUGGAAAAAGUCCAGUAGCCGAAAGCAUCACUAGCUUACUCUCUGACCCGAGUAGCAUGGGGCACGUGGAAUCCCGUGUCAAUCAGAAAGGACAACCUUGCAAGGCUAAGUAGUACUAUGAGGGAAGGGUGAAAAGAACCUCCAUCGAGGAGUAAAAUAGAAUAUGAAAUUAUAAGCUCCCAAGCAGUGGGAGGAGCCAGGGCUCUAACCGCGUGCCUAUUGAAGAAUGAGUCGGUAACUCAUAGGCACUGUCUUGGUUAAGGGAACCCACCUGAGCCAUAGCAAAAAUGAGUCUUCAUAGGGCAAUUGUCACUGCUUAUGGACCCAAACCGUGGUGAUCUAUCCAUGAACAGGAUGAAGCUUAGGUGAAACUAAGUGGAGGUCCGAACCGACUGAUGUUGAAGAAUCAACCGAAGAGUUGUGGUUAGGGGUGAAAUGCCACUCGAACCCAGAGCUAGCUGGUUCUCCCCAAAAUGCGUUGUGGCAUAGCAGUUGACUGGACAUCUAGGGGUAAAGAACUGUUUUGGUUCAGGCCACGAGAGAGGUACCAAAUUGAGGCAAACUCUAAAUACUAGGUAUGGCCUUAAAAUUAAAAAAGAGGGGUCAAAGUCGGCUAGUGAGACGAUGGGGGAUAAGCUUCCUCGUCGAGAGGGAAACAGCCCGGAUCACCAGCUAAGGCCCCUAAAUGGCCGCUCAGUGAUAAAGGAGGUAGGGGUGCGGAGACAGCCAGGAGGUUUGCCUAGAAGCAGCCACCCUUGAAAGAGUGCGUAAUAGCUCACUGAUCGAGCGCUCUUGCGCCGAAGAUGAACGGGGCUAAGCGAUCUACAUAAUCUGUGGGGUGUAAAAAUACAUUAGUAGGGGAGCGUUCCACCUUAGAGGGAAGCCUCCGCAUGAGCGGUAGUGGACGAAGCGGAACCGAGAAUGUCGUCUUGAUUAAAGCAAACAUUGGUGAGAAUCCAAUGCCCCAAAAACCUAAGGGUUCCUCCGUAAAGUUCGUCCAUGGAGGGUAAGUCAGGGCCUAAGAUCUGGCCAAAAGGCGUAGUCGAUGGACAACAGGUAAAUAUUCCUGUACUACCCCUUCUUGAUCCCGAGGGAUGGAGGAGGCUAGGUUAGCCAAAAGAUGGUUAUCGGUUUAAGAACGUAAGGUGUCCCUACCCUUUUUUCAAGGUAAGAAGGGGUAGAGAAAAUUCCUUGAGCCAAUGGUUGAAUACCAGGUGCUACGACACUGAAGUAACCCAUGACAUACUCCCAGGAAAAGCUUGAACGACUUUGAGCAAGAGGGUACCUGUACCCAAAAAUGGCACAGAUGGGUAGGUAGAGAAUACCUAGGGGCGCCAGACAACUCUCUCUAAGGAACUCGGCAAAAUAGCCCCGUAACUUUGGGAGAAGGGGUGCCUCUUCACAUCACAAAGGGGGUCNAGAGAAUACCUAGGGGCGCCAGACAACUCUCUCUAAGGAACUCGGCAAAAUAGCCCCGUAACUUUAGAAGAAGGGGUGGUGCCUCUUCACAUCAUAAAGGGGGUCAUAGUGACCAGGCCUGGGAGACUCUUUACCAAAAACACAAGUCUCUGCAAAGUCGUAAGACCAUGUGUGGGGGCUGGCGCCUGCCCAGUGCCGGAAGGUCCAGGAAGUUGGUGACCUGAUGAUAGAGGAGCCCGUGACCGAAGCCUCGGUGAACGGCGGCCAUAACUAUAACGGUUCUAAGGUAGUGAAAUUCCUUGUCGGGUAAGUUUCGACCCGCACGAAAGGUAUAAUGAUCUGGGCACUGUCUCGGAGAGAAGCUCGGCGAAAUAGACAUGUCUGUGAAGAUGUGGACUAUCUGCACCUUGACAGAAAAACCCUAUAAAGCUUCGCUGUUCCCUAGCAUUGGCUUUGGGCCUUUCCUGCGUAGCUUAGGUGGAAGCCAAAGAAGGCCUCCUUACGGGGGGGCCCGAGCCAUCAGUGAGAUACCACUCUGGAAGGGCUAGAAUUCUAACCUUGUGUCAGGACCUACGAACCAAGGGACAGUCUCAGGUAGUCAAUUUCUAUGGGGCGUAGGCCUCCCAAAAGGUAAAAGAGGCAUGUAAACGUUUCCUCAGGCCAUACAGAGAUUGGCCCUCGGAUGCAAAGACGUAAGGGAGCUUGACUGUAAGACCCACCCAUUGAGAAGGGACGAAAGUCGGCCUUAGCGAUCCGACGGUGUCGAGUGGAAGGGUCGCCGCUUAAUAGAUAAAAGUUACAAUAGGGAUAAUAGGCUGAUCUUUCCCAAGAGAUCACAUUGACAGGAAGGUUUGUCACCUCGAUGUCGGCUCUUUGCCACCUGGGGCUGUAGUAUGUUCCAAGGGUUGGGUUGUUUGCCCAUUAAAGCGGUACGUGAGCUGGGUUCAAAAUGUCAUGAGAUAGUUCGGUCCAUAUCCGGUGUGGGAGUUAAAACAUUGAGAGGACCUUUCCCUAGUAAGAGAGGACCGGGAAGGAUGCACCUCUGGUGUACCAGUUAUCGUACCCACGGUAAAUGCUGGGUAGCCAAGUGCGGAGCGGAUAACUGCUAAAAGCAUCUAAGUAGUAAGCCCACCAUAAGAUGAGUGCUCUCCUAUUCCCACUUCCCCAGAGCUUCCAGUAGCACAACCAAUACAAGGACGGGUUCUCGGCCCCUACAGGGAUGGAGCGAUAGAAGUUUUUUUAAGAAUUCAAGAGAAGGUCAUGGCGAGAUGAGCCGUUUAUCAUUACGAUAGGUUUCAAGCGGAAGAGCAGUGAUGUAUGCAGCUGAGGCAUCCUAACAGAUUGGUAGACUUGAACCU
rnacentral:rRNA from 1 species